UAGCAGUCAUCGUGGGGUAUAGUGUCACAUGACUUCCUUUUAUCUUGUCUGGACAGGAUGAGUUUACUUAUUCUUUAUCAGGGUGGCUAGACUUCUCGAAGUGAGUUCUGCCCAUAAGAUGUGGCUGAAGCAAGACCUAAAAAUGUAGCCUGAAUUACUUGUAUGCAACCCUGACCCUCACAUAGAAAAAAAUCCCAAGCACCAGCCUCCAGAGCUGAUAAUUAUAAUAUUAUGGCAGCUGGUGUUUUUGUUUUUCUGUUAGAAGUCUACAAACUACAAAAGCUCUGACUGAAGUAGACAAGAAACAAAUUCAAAAGAUCCUCACAAUUGAUUCAACUGGAAGACUUGUGUGUUUUCUCCUUGCUGCUCUACUCAAGAUAGUCUGUGUAACUGCUGCAGGAGCUGCGUCAUCACAGACCAAGGGAAAAAAGUAGAUAACUACCAUGGAUAAUAAGAAACUAACAAGAGCUUCUGAUGUUGAGAAGAGGGAAGAAAAAAUACUCCACUUCAAAUUCUUAAGUCUUUUAACUUUAUU